UUUUUUUUUUUUUUUUAAGGGCUACACCUGUGACAUGGAAAUUCCCAAGCUAGUGGUCAAAUUGGAGCUGUGGCUGCCGGCCUACACCAUAGCCACAGCAACACUGAAUCUGAGCCACAUUUGUGACCUACAACACAGCUUGCAGCAACGCUGGAUCUGUAACCCACUGAGUGAGGCCAGGGAUUGAACCUGCAUCUUCACAGACACUAUGUCAUGAUUUUAACCCACUCAGCCACAGUGGGAACUCCCAAAGCUAAUUUUUAAAAACUAAACUAAUGAGUCUAUCAAAGAAAAAAAUGAGAGAACCAAAGAGUACACAUCAGGGGAUUAGUGAUUCCUUCUUUAAAAUCAAAUGGAGAAUUAAAGAGAGAAAACAGUGAAGAAAUUCAGCUGUCAGGAGCAUGAGACGCACCAAACAGGCCAAAUACAGUGAUGUGAGAUCAGGCCAAGCAAAUAGCACAGUCAUAUAUAUGGAAAACUCCAUAGCAUCGCUGCCUACUACAUGAAUGGCGAGGAAACCACGUGGCUCCUCUAUUCCACUUCUGGGUAUUUAUCUGAAGAACACAAAACCACUAAUUCAUAAAGAUAUACACACCCUUCUGUUCUUUUCAGCUUUACUGACAAUAGCCAAGAUAUGAAAAAAACGCAAGUGUCCACAGAUUGAGGAACGGAUAAAGAAGAUGUGGUAAAAAUGUACAAUGGACUGCUACUCAGUCAUAAAAAAGAAUCAAAUUCUGCCGAUUGUGACAACAUGGAUGGACCCUGAAGGUAAUAUGCUAAGUGAAAUAAGUCAAAUGGGGAAAGACAAGUACAGUAUUAUUUCACUCAUAGGUGGAAGAAAAAAAAAACACAAAAUAAAACAAAACAAAACUCACAGAUACAUAGAUUAGUGGUUAAAAGAGGGGAUGAGGAUUGGGGGUGGGCGAAAAGGGUAAGAGUCAAUUGCAUGAUGAUGUAUCAAAACUACACUUGUGAUGAUCACUUCCUACUGUAUACAGAUGUCGAAUUAUAAUGCUGUACACCUGAAACUUACAUAACAAAAAAAUUUAAGAAAUAAAAACAAGUGUAACUACUUAUCCUGGGGGAAAAAAGAAUGACAAGGAAGACCUCUGACUUCUAGGAAGAAAACCAGAUUGAAUGGCAUUUAUGCAUCAAUUUAAAAUAAAUAUAUAAAAUAAGUGUAAGUAAAUAAAAAUAAAAUAAGGAAAUGUAAAAUUUGGUUGUGAUGAUUGUUGUAUACCUAUAAAUGUAAUAAAAUUAAUUAAUUAAAAAUAAAUAAAUAAAAUAAGUAUAUGGAAAUGAAAAGGCAUUUAUCUGAGCCAAGUUGUAGUACUCACUUAAAAAUUCCUUUCUAAACAUGUGAAUAUAGGUAAUUAGUGGUCAGUAUGUAUCUAGUUUUUUAAAUAGUUAUAAUUACAUAGUGAAAGUUUAACUCUCUGUUGAUCUCUUGGACAUUUGCUAACCAAACAAGGGUCAUUCAGAAGAAUCUUCCUAAAAUUUCAGGUAGACAUUUUGUUUGAGAUGCUUUAAUUUCUUGGAGCUAGCCCUAGCAUAUUUAAAUUAAGUGUUCUUUAUUCUAUCAUUUAUUCAACAGAGAAGCAUUAAGCACCUAGUUUUCCAAGCUCUAUGACUCAGUGCUAAUCCUCUGCCUGUCCUUCGGGCAGCUGACUCACUUCUACUUGCCAUCAAAUGAUAGCUUAAUUAUACAUACAUAGCUAUACACAUGCAAUUAGAGUGGGUGUGGCUAUCUGCAAGGUUAGACUAGCUUUCUGAUCUUGAAUCCCUGCCUUACAUGAAGAAUAAGAUAAGUUCUGAUGUUGGCAGUAGGAGAGUCUCAGUUAAAUCUAUUCAAUACCAUAUGUGUAAGUAUGUCUGUGUGUAUGUGUACACAUGAGUUUUUCUACAUGUAUUUUCUACAACGUGCGGACACAUAGGUCAGUGCCCAAUGAUUGGCAUCACAAACCUGAGAAGAUCAGCCUUAUCCUGGUCAGCUAAGUUUUGAUGGUGAAAGCUUCAGAGUGAAUUAAAAGCCUUGGCCCCAAGGACUGGCUUAGAGCACUAAUGGGAUGAUAGUGCAUUGGAGGAGAUGGAGAACUUAGAGGGGGAAACUUAAAAGUGUGUGGAAACUUAGUUGUAUAUUGGAAAGAAAAUUAGAGAAAACCACAUGACAUUUUUAUCCAAAUUCUGUGGGAUCACACAGCUCAGUGAAAUCUCUCAAGGUCAUCAGUAAGAACCAAUAAAAUACAAGGAACCAAUACUCGCAGUAAGAUGUUGCAGGCUGAAGGGCGGACACCACCAGGGAAUCAGAGCAGAUUAGAAAAGAGUAAUGGUAGAAUCUUCACACUGGGAUGGAGUGUUUGCUGGAAAGUACUUGAGAGACCGUGUAUGGUGGAAAGUCUUUAAUGAAACUGGAGGUCUUGGGCCACUAUUUAACAUUAGCUAUAUCUUAGAAGAGGUGCUAGGAAAGUGUCUCUGAAAGCAAGGCUUAGUAGUCUUCCGUUGCAGGUCAAAGUUUAUAUUCGCACAAGAGAACAAGCAAUCUAAGUAUAGGAAAGGCUAUCUGUGUCUCACAAAGUGGUGCCUCUUGCUUUCUGUAUCUAUGCUUUGUCUAAAGGAUGGGAGAGUCAGAACUAAAAGCCCAACAAUGUGAAAGCCAGUGGUUGGACAAUUAGCAAAAUUUGAAUGAGGUCCAUAGAUUAGAUAAUAAUAUUGUAUCAAAGUUAAUUUUCCAACAUUGAUAACUGCACUGUUAUGUAAGAUAAUGUCCUUGUUCUUAAGAAAUGUGGAGCUCUAGGAGUUCCCGUCAUGGCUCAGUGGUUAACGAAUCCAACAAGGAACCACGAGGUGGCGGGUUCAUUCCCUGGCCUUGCUCAGUGGGUUAAGGAUCUGGCGUUACCAUGAGCUGUGGUGUAGGUUGCAGAUGCGGCUUGGAUCCUGCGUUGCUGUGGCUCUGGGUUCUACUGUGGUGCAGCAGGUUAAGGAUCUGGCUUUGUCACUGUAGCAGCUUUGGUCAAGGCUGUGGACAGGCUUGAUCCCUGGCCAGGGAACUUCCACAUGCCAUGGGCAUGACCAAAGAAAAAAAAAAGAAAUGUGCAUUAAAGUCUUUAGGAGCAAGAGAUUUCAUAUUUACAACUUUCAAAUGCCUCUGAACAAUUUACAUAGACAUACAUACAGUAAAUAUGAAAAGGAGGGGGAAAGGUAGUGAAACAGAGAAUGAUAAAAGAAAUGCAGCAAUAUAUUAACAAACAAGCAUAUGGGUAAAUGUUAAAGAACAGUUCUCUAUUUUAUUUUAAAAUUUUCUCUAAGUUUGAAGUUAUUUCAAAAUAGAAAAUUAUUCUAAAGAUUGCCAACAACAGAAAGCUUAACACAAAUUAGAGCGCCUCUUAAAUGUAGAUAAGGCUUCCUAAGUAAUGGGUUCCAAGCCAUGCUGAAAAUGUGACCUGCUCACUGCAAAAUACACCCCACCUCUCCACUUAACAUCUUUCAAUUUAUGGCAAUCAUUCUGAGGGUUUAAAUAUGUUUCAGAGAAGAAAUUAAAAUGUCUUAGUUGAAGGGGUAAUGACUUAAUAUCUGUUCAUUAUCCCAGUGGAAGAAAGCAGAAUCCUAAGGAUUCUUCCUCUCUGGUUUUUGUUGUAUUCAUCCAACCAAUAGCCUUGCCCCUCUAUUUCAUAAAUGGAGGUUUCGGUUUCAUUAGUCACAUAAAAUCAUAUUAAAACUCCCCAUGAGAAAACAGUAACAAUGUGAAAAUUAUUCUUUUAAUUGAUAUGCCAUGUUUCUAGAACAAGCUUGCAAAAAAAGGCUUGUUUGUGCUCCUUACAAUCACCAGACAAUAUUACUAACGGCUUGGUCUAUACUCCACAGUUAUUUUUGUGCUAAAUCCACUAAGAAUUUGGUACUGAACUUCCACUUAUGUGAUAGUCAUUAUGCUGAUUUUUUAAAAUUGUUUGCUACAUGUUUCACAUUUUUGUGCAUUACAUUUAUAAAGGCUUUGUCCAAAGGUAAAACUUUCUUAGAUCAAAAAAUGUUGCAAAUAUUUCAUAGGUAUUUGGAGAAGGAUUCUUUCAUUGCUGCUUUAGCAUUUCAGCCUGAACCCUGACAAUAAAAGCAUCUUUCCACUUCAUAAUUUCUACUCAUUUUCAAAUGGGAGAUUGAUAUCUUAUUGGUGGAAGUGAAAAGCAAUUGAGCAUGCUCACUUUGGGCCAUUCCUCCUGCCUCUGAAUUAAUUAGUGUGCUUCUCCAUUCUUAUUCCAGGAAGCAACCACACAGAGGUCAAACCAACCUAUUUUCUAGAAGCAUUUCUGAAAGUUCAUCUCAUUCCCAAUUUUGGGACUCCAAAAAUAUAAAGCAAUAGUCCUCAGUGAUUGUGUCUGUUUUGGAAAAACCAUUCCAGCCUUUCCAAUAAUAAAAUUAUUUUUUAAUUUUUCUCUUUUGUCUGUUUACAUAAAUUUAUUCAAAACUCAAGAGAGGACAAGAAGCAUGCUGUUUAAUGGUCCCCUAAAAUCUCACCAGUUUUACUGACUAGUUUUCUACUUUCAGAUUUGUGGACCUGUUGGUGAAUUCAUAUUAGAUCAUGGUAUAAAGGCUUGAUUUCUACUAGGGAUGGAUAAUUAUCAAAGCCUCUACUUACAUUUCAAAAUAAAAUUGUUAUUCACUUCAUUGCCCGAUACAAACCAUUAGUGACCAUUAGGAAUGGCAGUUCUUUUCAUUUCCUAAGGCUUUGUUUGGAUUGUACAAAACACAUGACAAGCUCUGUCAAACUUUCAAAGAGGGAGUUCCCAUCAUGGGUCACUGGUUAACGAAUCCGACUAGGAACCAUGAGGUUGUGGGUUCGAUCCCUGGCCUCGCUCAGUGGAUUAAGGAUCUGGCGUUGCCAUGAGCUGUGGUGUAGGUCGCAGAUAUGGCUCGGAUCCUGCGUUGCUGUGGCUCUGAGUUAGGCCAGAGGCUAUGGCUCUGAUUAGACCCCUAGCCUGGGAACCUCCAUGUGUUGUGGGUGCGGCCAUAGAAAAGACAAAAAAGAACCAAAAAAAAAACAACAAAAAAAAAACUUUCAAAGAGAAGUACCUCUCUGUUGAAGUCAAAAAACAAAACAAAACAAAAAGCUGGACCAGGACAAAAGGGAGCCCAGCUCUGCAGGCUGGACAGGAAGUAAAGCAACCUGGAAUAGUAGAGACUUCAUCACUGAAGUGGGCAGGGCCAGGGAGCUGACUCCCCAGACUGGCC
rnacentral:lncRNA from 1 species